UGGUAGGUUUUUGUUCUAUCAACAAGUCAACCUUCAGGCUUCUAUAUAUUGUUGUUCAAAGUAUAUUUAAUAACCCCUUCCAUCUCUCAACUCAACUCAACUCUAUAUAUUGACUCAGCAAUAUCAAGCAUCAAAGCACAUCAACUCUAUAAAUCAAGCAUGUGCAAUCAAGUCCGGUAUGUCUCGUUCUAUAUGUUUUAGUUUCAUCCAUGUAUUCAGCAAGAUCUUUACAUACAUACAUGAUACAUAUUUACAUGCAUACAUACAUAAAUUACAUAUAUAUUAGUACAUGCAGGGUGUUGCAAAAUGGUAUCGAUUUCUCAUCAGAACCUACAAACAUCCUUAGACAGAUUAAAAGUUUGUAGAAUUCAUGUACCUAUUUUGCUUUGUCUGCUCUCUUUGCAGCGCACAGAAGGCAUGUCUUAGCGUCGAUUCUUGCAGUUUUUUCUUCCUUGUGUGUCACUGUUGACCUGCAUAGAUCAGUGUAUCGGAUGAUACUGAGUAAUACCUCGUCUUGGUGGCAACUUCCGUAAAAUGAAAAGGACCAAAAUCGAAGGUAAUAUCUCCACCAACUGCCCAAUAAAAGAAAACAAAACGAAAAGAAAAAGUUUCUGAGGAUAGUUGAAUGCCAUCUUUGUAAUCAACAUCAAGAAACAACAUUAAAAUACUUAUAUAUAUAUAUAUCAUCAAUUUCAGUAAUUCCUCCCCAUUUUGGUAGCAAAAUAGAAAAAAAAGUUCAGUCAGUUUUCUUUCAAUUUCCCCUAUUUUAGAGAGCUAUAUAUAUAUAUACAUGUUCAACAGAGAUACCUAGAAGUUAGCCUCUAGCCUUUUAUAUAAACAUAAGCAAUUAAAAGAAAGAGAAAAGAAUUAGCAAGACAUGAAGAAAAUAUUAUCAACUAUACUCUCAGGUAAAAUUAUUAUCCCCAAAGUUCGAGAACUAGUUUGCAAAUAAUGAUAACAUAAAGUCGCAACUCACAACUGCAUCUAAAAAUUUCUUCCACUUAACAAUCUGAUGGCAAAGUCUUAUAAAUUGCUUACGAAAUUUAUUGAAAUAUGCAUUAAAUUUAGCAGCAAAAUAAACAAGGAAACAAGGAAUUGGCAAUCUUCUCGGUUUUCCUAUGGCAAUGAAAAGGGUUAAGCAACCUCCACACUGUAUUUCAAUAUGAUUGUUUCAAUCAUGAGAAAAUUAGAAACAUGAAGAAAUAUUUAUUAAACAUACCAGGUAAUAUAUGAAGUUUAGAACUGGAUGGUUCAGAACAUUAAGAUCAGCAGCUUUAUCAAAUGCAUCAAAGCACAUCUAAAACAAAAAUUAACAAUGGAGCUCGAAUUAGCAAACGCUUUGGACAAACAUCAUCAUAAAUGAGCAAAGUCCAAGAUAUGAAAUUCAGUAAGAUGCAUACUACUUAAUCACCAUUGAUUAAUCAAAUAGAUUAGCAAUUUAAACCAACUAGCAGCUAAGGUUCAACUAAAAUGCUUUCAUUUUGAAACAAAAGUGCUAUAACAUUAUGGGAAAAUAUUUGGUACACUGCAAGUGGAGUUUUUAGACUCCACAAGCACAGUUAGGGGGUUGACAAGUAUCGUAUAGAGGUACAGUAAAAUAUUAAAAAAAUAAAUAUUUUUAAAAAAGACACAUGGAAAUUUUUUAGGGUUGCUUAUGCAAUAAAAACAAAUACACUGCCAGUGUACCAAAUACUAACCCUAACACUAUACAUACCUAAAAGUUUCACAAAAGCCUAACAAAACGUGCUUGUAGUAUUGUCAAUUUGAGAUGUGUAGUGUUAGUAAAGCCAGAAAGGAGAUUAAUAAUCUACCAUAAUGCAUCUGACUAGGAAACAUGAGGAGCAUAUGACAGUCACAUAACCAACCUGCCAAAUACAAAAAGAAAUAACAAUAAAAAAUUGUAAAUAGAAGUUCAAAUCGUUGUACUUAAAAACCACAUCUACUUCCAAAGUAAAUAUGUACUUCUUGCAGCUUAUUUUGUCGCCCUUUGGACUCUACAGGGAAUCGCUGCAACAUUAAGAAAAGCCUGCAAGGAUUGAACUUAUUACAUAUAGAUAUACAUAGAGAGAGAGAGAGAAUUUCAAGGUAUAUAUAUAGUAUGGUUACAAUGUUCUCUUACAAAUGAAUGGGAGAAACUGUAAUUACGGCAUAAAUGAAUAGAACAAAAAGGGUCAACCAUAAUUUUCUCUGGGAAGUACCAAAUAAACAUGAACUAAUUUAUCAGCAAAAUAGUAACUGCUCCAUGACACUUGCCAACUGAAUUAUCAAUGAUGAGCAUGAAUAUAGG
rnacentral:lncRNA from 1 species